UACGAAGGGGGCUAGCGUUGUUCGGAAUUACUGGGCGUAAAGCGCACGUAGGCGGAUAUUUAAGUCAGGGGUGAAAUCCCAGAGCUCAACUCUGGAACUGCCUUUGAUACUGGGUAUCUUGAGUAUGGAAGAGGUUAGUGGAAUUGCGAGUGUAGAGGUGAAAUUCGUAGAUAUUCGCAGGAACACCAGUGGCGAAGGCGAGCCCCUGG
rnacentral:rRNA from 1 species